rnacentral:lncRNA from 1 species
CAAACGGAUUAGGGAAAAGAGACUCGAGAAGCUAGGGUUUGAAGAUUUGAUCUUUUACCUUAAAGAUGGCUCUUUGUGUCGUCCCUGUUACAGUUUUUUUGGGUUCUUCUUCUUCUUCUUCUCAGCUGCUAAUAUAAUAAUAAAUAAAAAGUCUGUUUGGGAAACGAGAAACCUUGAGAAAUUUCAAAUUUAGACUUCUUUUUACCUCCGUACUUCACUGCAAAUCCACCCACACCUUUCCCCUUUCUCUCUUCACUAUUACUAUUUUUAUUUUUUUUAUUAAUUUACAAUUUAUAUCAAUUUAAAAAUUCAUAUUAAAAUAAAUAUAUAUAAUAGGUUU